rnacentral:other from 1 species
UCCCUGCGGUGUGCGCAAUGCGGCAACAUUUUAGCCAACACUAUUAUGUAAGGGAAACCGAGCUUUUGCAGUGGUGUGUAUGCCCCCCGUAUAUCGGUCUGAGGGAAACCCGUAAGCUGUAAAUUAAGUUACCCACCUGCAGCGCAGGUUGAAAUACAGCCGCAAAACGGCACAGUGGGGAA